GAUGAACGCUAGCGACAGGCCUAACACAUGCAAGUCGAGGGGCAUCGGGGCGAGGAGCAAUCCUUGCCGCCGGCGACCGGCGCACGGGUGAGUAACGCGUAUGCGACCUGCCCGUUGCAGGGGGAUAAUCGGGAGAAAUCCCGUCUAAUACCGCGUAACGCCGCGGGGCUGCAUGGCCCUGCGGCCAAAGGGAGCGAUUCCGGCAACGGAUGGGCAUGCGUGACAUUAGCUAGUUGGCGGGGCAACGGCCCACCAAGGCGACGAUGUCUAGGGGUUCUGAGAGGAAGGUCCCCCACACUGGGACUGAGACACGGCCCAA
rnacentral:rRNA from 1 species